UGAGGAAUCUUGGGCAAUGGGGGAAACCCUGACCCAGCCACGCCGCGUGGAGGAAGACACCCCUAUGGGGCGUAAACUCCUUUUGUGUGAGAAGAAGGUCCCGUUCGUCGGGAUUUGACGGUACCACACGAAUAAGCACCGGCUAACUCCGUGCCAGCAGCCGCGGUAAUACGGAGGGUGCAAGCGUUGUCCGGAUUUAUUGGGUUUAAAGGGUACGUAGGCGGGCUGUUAAGUCUGAGGUGAAAGCUCCUGGCUCAACCAGGAAAUUGCCUUGGAUACUGGCAGUCUUGAGUACAGUAGAGGUGGGCGGAAUUCAUGGUGUAGCGGUGAAAUGCAUAGAUACCAUGAGGAACACCGAUAGGGAAGCCAGCUCACUGGACUGUUACUGACGCUGAGGUACGAAAGCGUGGGGAGCGAACAGGAUUAGAUACCCCUGUAGUCC
rnacentral:rRNA from 1 species